UGAACGCUGGCGGUAGGCCUAACACAUGCAAGUCGAACGGCAGCACAGGAGAGCUUGCUCUCUGGGUGGCGAGUGGCGGACGGGUGAGGAAUACAUCGGAAUCUACUUUUUCGUGGGGGAUAACGUAGGGAAACUUACGCUAAUACCGCAUACGACCUACGGGUGAAAGCAGGGGAUCUUCGGACCUUGCGCGAUUGAAUGAGCCGAUGUCGGAUUAGCUAGUUGGCGGGGUAAAGGCCCACCAAGGCGACGAUCCGUAGCUGGUCUGAGAGGAUGAUCAGCCACACUGGAACUGAGACACGGUCCAGACUCCUACGGGAGGCAGCAGUGGGGAAUAUUGGACAAUGGGCGCAAGCCUGAUCCAGCCAUACCGCGUGGGUGAAGAAGGCCUUCGGGUUGUAAAGCCCUUUUGUUGGGAAAGAAAUCCAGCUGGCUAAUACCCGGUUGGGAUGACGGUACCUCAAAGACGAAAACCGCUACUUC
rnacentral:rRNA from 1 species